rfam:Triticum aestivum genome assembly, contig: Triticum_aestivum_CS42_TGACv1_scaffold_229144_3B
AUGGUACUCCCUCCGUCCCAAAAUAAGUGUCUCAACUUUAUAAACUUUACUAAAGUUUAUAAAGUUGAGACACUUAUUUUGGGACGGAGGGAGUACAAA